rnacentral:rRNA from 13 species
AAUGAGUUUGAUCCUGGCUCAGAGUGAACGCUAAUAAUAUGCUUUACACAUGCGAGUUGUACGAAAUUUUAUCGUAGCGAACGGGUGAGGAAUACGCAAUAUGUUUAUACUUCUAUUGUUAAAAACAAGUAUAAAUAGUCUACCUUUUAAUUUAAGAUAAACUAC